rnacentral:rRNA from 1 species
CUUAGUGGCAGACGGGUGAGUAACAUGUGGGUAUCUACCCUUUGGCCUGGAAUAACACGAGAAAACUUGUGCUAAUACCGGAUAAGUCUUUACGGAGAGAGCUUUAUGCACCAUUGGAUGAGCCCGCACUUGAUUAGUUUGUUGGUAGGGUAAUGGCCUACCAAGACUAUGAUCAAUAGCUGAUUUGAGAGGAUGAUCAGCCCACAUUGGGACUGAGACACGGCCCAAACUCCUACGGGAGGCAGCAGUGGGGAAUCUUGCACAAUGGAGGAAACUCUGAUGCAGCGAUGCCGCGUGAGUGAAGAAGGCCUUUGGGUUGUAAAGCUCUUUCGUCGGGGAAGAAAAUGACUGUACCCGAAUAAGAAGGUCCGGCUAACUUCGUGCCAGCAGCCGCGGUAAUACGAAGGGACCUAGCGUAGUUCGGAAUUACUGGGCUUAAAGAGUUCGUAGGUGGUUGAAAAAGUUGGUGGUGAAAUCCCAGAGCUUAACUCUGGAACUGCCAUCAAAACUUUUCAGCUAGAGUAUGAUAGAGGAAAGCAGAAUUUCUAGUGUAGAGAUGAAAUUCGUAGAUAUUAGAAAGAAUACCAAUUGCGAAGGCAGCUUUCUGGAUCAUUACUGACACUGAGGAACGAAAGCAUGGGUAGCGAAGAGGAUUAGAUACCCUCGUAGUCCAUGCCGUAAACGAUGUGUGUUAGACGUUGGAAAUUUAUUUUCAGUGUCGCAGGGAAACCGAUA